rnacentral:rRNA from 1 species
GACGAACGCUGGCGGCGUGCCUAAUACAUGCAAGUAGAACGCUGAAGGAGGAGCUUGCUUCUCUGGAUGAGUUGCGAACGGGUGAGUAACGCGUAGGUAACCUGCCUGGUAGCGGGGGAUAACUAUUGGAAACGAUAGCUGAUACCGCAUAAGAGUAGAUGUUGCAUGACAUUUGCUUAAAAGGUGCAAAUGCAUCACUACCAGAUGGACCUGCGUUGUAUUAGCUAGUUGGUGGGGUAACGGCUCACCAAGGCGACGAUACAUAGCCGACCUGAGAGGGUGAUCGGCCACACUGGGACUGAGACACGGCCCAGACUCCUACGGGAGGCAGCAGUAGGGAAUCUUCGGCAAUGGACGGAAGUCUGACCGAGCAACGCCGCGUGAGUGAAGAAGGUUUUCGGAUCGUAAAGCUCUGUUGUAAGAGAAGAACGAGUGUGAGAGUGGAAAGUUCACACUGUGACGGUAUCUUACCAGAAAGGGACGGCUAACUACGUGCCAGCAGCCGCGGUAAUACGUAGGUCCCGAGCGUUGUCCGGAUUUAUUGGGCGUAAAGCGAGCGCAGGCGGUUAGAUAAGUCUGAAGUUAAAGGCUGUGGCUUAACCAUAGUAGGCUUUGGAAACUGUUUAACUUGAGUGCAAGAGGGGAGAGUGGAAUUCCAUGUGUAGCGGUGAAAUGCGUAGAUAUAUGGAGGAACACCGGUGGCGAAAGCGGCUCUCUGGCUUGUAACUGACGCUGAGGCUCGAAAGCGUGGGGAGCAAACAGG